GUCCCUGUCGAUUAGUGGUCAAAUCAUGACGUUGUGGUUUCUCACAAUUCCGUCAAGCCGCCGGCUCGAAUCCGGCCAGGGACA